CAGUAGGGAGGAAGGUAGUGUAGUUAACACCUGCAUUAUUUGACGUUACCUACAGAAGAAGCACCGGCUAACUCCGUGCCAGCAGCCGCGGUAAUACGGAGGGUGCGAGCGUUAAUCGGAAUUACUGGGCGUAAAGCGCAUGCAGGUGGCCUGUUAAGUCAGAUGUGAAAGCCCGGGGCGUUAACCUACGGAAUUGCAUUUAGUAAACUGGCAGGCUAGAGUCUUGUAGAGGGGGGUAGGAAUUUCAGGUGUAGCGGUGAAAUGCGUAGAGAUCUGAAGGAAUACCAGUGGCGAAGGCGGCCCCCUGGACAAAGACUGACGCUCAGAUGCGAAAGCGUGGGGAGCAAACAGGAUUAGAUACCCUGGUAG
rnacentral:rRNA from 1 species